rnacentral:lncRNA from 1 species
UAUCUAUUUUGCAGCUCUGAGGAUUGAAUCCGGGGGCACUCUGCCAUUGAGCCACGCCCCCAGUCUUUUCUUGAGGCUGUGUAAGCGGACUUUGGUGUUGCGAUCCUCCUGCCUCUGCCUCCCUGAGGUGCUAGGGUCACAGGCAUGUGCCGCUGCACCCAGCUGGAAAUGCGUUUUAAAUGACCACUCCAGGUGGUCCUGAUGUAAAUGGGAUUUUAUGUUUUUGUAGUAGUUUUAUUCAGAUAUCAUUCACACCACACUGUCCGCCUUUUAAAGUGCACAAUUCAGGGGUUGUUAGUCUCCUCACAUCACUUUUAGGACCUCUUCAUCAUCCUCAAGAGCCACCUCCCUUAGUCCCUAUCCUCUCCAGCUUGUGGCACCUGCUGCUGAUGCUGUCAUUGUGGGUUUCCUGCUCUGGAUAUGUCAUGUAAAUGCAUCUUGAACAAGUCAGUCCUUUGAACCUGGCUCCUUCCAUUUAGCCUCACGUAUUGGAGGCGUUUCCUCAGGAGGGUGCUUUUCCCUUUCAUGGUUGAAUACUAUUCCACAGUCUAGACAGACCACAUUUUGUUUAUGUAAUCAUCCUUCCAGUGGACACUCUGGCUGCUUUUGCCUUUCAGCUGUUGUGAACAGUGCUACUUAUGAACAUCGGCCACGAAGAUCUGUCUGAGUCCCUGUGAAGGCCUCAUUUUGAAACACAAGACAACAGUGGCUGGGGUGAUCUUCUCCGUUCUGUAGGUAUUGCUCCCAAAGCAGAGGCGCUCUCAGCCACCACAGGGAGCCUCCAGACAGUGGGGCCGGUGUGCGCCAGGAACUGCACAGUUUUCCGGAGAGCAUCUCAUUGGCUCAGCAGAGCUGAAUGACAGGUGUUGGAGACGCACAGGUGCAAACGGAGGUUCAAGAAGGCUCAAAUGUCAUGUUCGAGUCUUUGCACUUAGCAGGUGACAGACUUCUGAGCCCUGACCUAGGAUCCAGUGAUAAUCCUGGCAGGUGCCGGUCUCUACUGAGGGCAAAGGAAGGAAGAAAAUCCCAAGUCGAUUUCUUCCACCUUCGGAAUCACUUGGCCACCAGGUAGAUUAAUGACGGGUGGCCCUUGGCUGAAUACAGAGCACUUUCUCUAUUAUCCUCACCGGGUCCCGAGGGAACACCACGGAGCGGCCGUUCCUCACCUUCCCUGUGAACAUGAGGGGCUGAGACCUGGGAGUCACCCUUUGCGGCCGCCUUGUGGGUGCUUCUCAGAUGUUUUGUAUGCUGGGACACCUGUGUGCGGGGGCCUGGGAAUCUGUAUUUUUGAUAAGGGCCCCUUGUCCCCAUGCCACCUGAGGACCAACUCCUGGAGCAGGAAAAUGGGGUCUGGGUGGGCAAGACCUGGGGGCCAUGCAGGGUCCCUGGGUGCUCAUGGCCUCACCGUCCCCAGCCCCUGGGGGAUGUCCUUCACUUCAGGUUCCAGAGGGAGCCCAGACAAGCGUCGGCCACGAGGAGGUCAGGUCCCCGCACAACCCCUGCCAUCACUGGUCCCCUCUGCUGCCUGGCCUUGGGGCAGCCCCACUCCAGUGUGACAGUGGGUGGCAGAGCUGCAGUUGGCCACGAGCUGCCCUGCAGGGGACACUCUGGCUGUGAGCACCGAGGGGCAGCCGGGGCUGAUCCUGCAGCCUCACUCUUCCCAGAGCCUCCAGGAACCCAGGGGGAGGCGCAGGCCCAGCCACGUCCUCCCUGUUGUCCCCUGAGAUGGCAUAAGUACCAGGGGACCUGCAGGUGCCUGGGAGGCAGGAUGGUAAAUACAGGUUGGGGUGCAGGGUUGGCACAGCCCAUAAUUUGGGGCUUUCCUGGGAGAGGAGACGCGAGUGCUCACCAUCUGGGCCAGCCCGGGCAGGCCCCGGCCCCCAGCCCCCCCACUGGGCCACGCUGACUCAGCAGUGCGCAGGGCUUCUGGCGCUGGGCUGCGAGGCCAGGCCGGGCGGGCCGCUUCCAACUGUCCACUCUGCUCUCUCCACCCUCCCGGGGCCGCGGCAGAGAGCAUGCGUGGGAGCCACAGCCCACUGCAAGGGGAGGAAGGAGGAGUGGGAUGGGGAGAAGACGGCGGCUUCCCAGCUUCAGGACUCUUUAGGGGAAGAAGCUUCCCUCCACCCAGGGCCGGGGGAGGGAGGCUCUGGGUGCCCAGCUGCAGGCAGAGGCAGGUGCGUAUCCUGGGCAGCCUUCACUGUUUGGACCUGACUGAGGGUCCUUAGGGGAGGAAAGCUGGAGAGAAGGCCCCUCCUGCCCUCCUCCUCCUUCGGGUAGGAGUCCUCCAGGCAGGGUUGAAGAGCCCCUCAGAAUCAGAUAGUUCAACUCAAGACAUUUGCACAGAAGAGGAAACAGAAGUUCUAAGUGGUCUUCCAGCAAGGACCCAAGUCUCAGACCAAGAAAUGGGGGACAGAGCCUGUAGUUCACUCUCCCAGGGUGGUUGGUUGGUCCUGGGCCAUUUCGGUUGGGCUCUCCUGCCUUCUAGGGCCUCUGAGAUAGAGUCACUGGAGUGACCUGUAUGUAAACUAAUUUCAGAGCCUCAGCUCUAGAGGUUGGGAUGGGGUACUAUGGGUCUGGGUUCAAGUCCUGGUCUUAGGCAAAUGACCUACCCUUCAAAUCCUUGCAGAAUCUGCCCGAGGAGCACAAAGAUCACAAAGGUGUCGGGAGUAGGGAGUGUGAUUCUGGUCACCUGGCCGGCUCAGGGACUGUUGCUCUAGGUGCAGUGUCUGGUCCCGGCCAGGUCUCAGUGGGGACUAGAAGAUGGGGGGCAGCAACAGGGCGGGGAGUCCUCAAGAGAAGCUGUGUUCAGGGUGUGGGUUGAAGGGAUGGGGAGGACAGGUCCCCCCAGGAGCGCGUCGGAGCCCCACAGAGGGAGGGAGCAGGGACAGAUUAGAGAUUUUAUGAGACCUGGGGCUCAAGCCCAGCCUCCACAUAUCAUAGGACCAAGAGGAGGCCUGUGGAAUUCUGGGUAGGGGGAGGUAACUGUGGACAGGGGUGACUCAGCCCCAUCCCCCCUGGACCCUGCCAUGCAUAAAGGAGCAGCAGAGCAUGCUGGGAAGGGCCCAGGGAAGCGGGUGUCCAGCAGGGGUGUCCUUCCUAGGGGACCUCAGAGAGGUGGGGAAGAAUGUGAGGGCCAAGUGAGCUGGCCCUGGGAUUACACAAAGGUCCCCUCCCUCUGUCCCUGCCCACAAAGCAUGGAGGACACCCCCGCCCCACCAGCUUCGCUGAGUGUCUGCUUCCUACCCAGGAGGCCGACAGGAAGCCCCGAGGCAGCCCUGUCUGCUGGGAGACCAGAGCUAGGGCUCAUGCGUGGAUCUCCAAUUUGCCUGUUCUUCAGAUCCGCCUGGGAGUGGUCAGAGCUCCGGCCACCAGGCCACACCCAGACCCUAAUCAAAUCAGGCUGGGGUGGGGUGAGAGGGCGGGAAGGGUGACCUUGGCGUAUUUUAACGCCCUCCCACCCCACCCCAGAUGAUUCCAAUA